GCAAAGAGCAACAAUAAUAUAAAAUAUUAAGAAUAAUAUACAAAUAAAAUAUAGAAUAAAUAGGCCUACUCUAAAUAGCCCCAAUCCUUCAUCACACAAAUGUGAAAACACACUGAAUAGAAUCUAAUUAUUACACUAUAGCACUAAGAACAGAAAACACAAACUAAAACUAAAACCUGACCUUUCUGGCCUUCCUUGAUACAAAAUCAUCAAUGGUGUUAUCUAUGAAAUCUGCUCCCCUAUUGAGUAAUUGAUAUUGAUGACGACAAGGCCAGUGAUCCGUUCCUGUGACAUGGUUGACCUCAGGUAUGACUUAAUCAACUUUAGUUUUGAAAAACUCCUCUCUGAUGGGGAAGGCGGGGCUUUCCCGCAGGUUGCAGCAAGAUGCUCCUCUCUCAGCAAGCAGGCCCCCUGCACCUGCAGCUGCAGGGGGCGCCGAUUUGCCAAUUCCCCACACAGAUAGAUAACAGAAAACUGCUUUGCGGCGCAGAGGAUGUUUUUUUAAGUUCUCGCGCCACCCUCCAUGAGUCAUGAAAAUGCCGCCCCGGGCAGUUGCCCGGUUCGCCCAUGCCAAAAACCGCUACUGCAGACAAACAUUUGAUUAAUUGAAAUAUUUGUAUGGAUUGACAGCCCUAAUUAUCAUUAUUACUGUUUGUAUAAUCAUGCUGUGAUUUGAUACUGUAUUGUCUGUAACUGUUAUAUGUUGUAAGUCUGAGACUUUGUUUAAUGUGCGGCUGCUGUCUCUUGAACACCUGCUCCAGUUUUAGGACUCUGGCUCUGCUUUCUGCCUCCCUGACAAAUCCUGGCAGCCGUCAAACUGCCACGGUCUACAGGUCUCACUCUAUAGUUCUGACGGUACAUCUACAGGUCUGCAGUUCUACAGGCCAAUCAAAAUGAAAAUACAGUGAACCUAACACUGAUGGAGCAGAUUGGGACACAUUCAUCCUCAUCUCUUAAAAGGUGCAGUAGGUAAGACAUAUAAAACUAACUUUCUGUCAUAUUUGCUGAAAAUGACCCUAUGUGAACCAGGUCACAAAUCUGGCUCCUCUGGCACCACCUACAGCCUGUAGUGUGAUUUUCAAAAAUCCACCGCUCCCUGUUCAGAUGCACCAAUCAGGGCCACGGGGAGUGGCUGUUAUGGUUUGCUCUCUCUCCGCCCUGAGUUGGGUGGUUUUUUCCCUGUUUGUCUGUGUGUUCUGUGUUUUUCCACCUGGAGUGCUGGAGGGAAGUAGGUCAAGGGGCGUGGCCAAUUCAACACUGCACAGCCGGUCUUCACAGCUGCAGCUCAUCUUCAUGAUUCACUCCUGCAAUACUUAAACCCGGGCUGAUCACCUCUUCGGUGCUAGUUCAUUAUCUACAACCCAUGUGUCCCUGCUCUGACCUGCUGAUUCCUCCGCUGUGCCUGCACGCUCCCCAGCCUCACCGUUCUGCCGCCCCCUUCCCCAUGGGACACAAUCUAUGUACUCAGCUCUGCCUGUCCACCUCGUGUCCCGUAACACUUGGACUCAUCCCCGUUGGCUCGCCUAAAGCCUCGGACCAGCCAGGAGUUUUCCCACCCUGACACUGCCCACAGUGAUUCUCUGAGUACACUCUGCUCCAUUAAACCUUUUAAAAC